rnacentral:lncRNA from 1 species
UGUAACAAUAAUAAUCAAAAUAUAUAAAUCUAAAUAAUAUGUUUCCUCUAAACAGGUCAUUCCUCUGAUGUUCUGCCAGCAGAAAUAUAUGGAAGCUCGGAAGUGAAAGCAGGACAAGAUUUAGAGUUAAAGUGUAAAAUCCCCACUGAAUCCGGAUCCUUCUACAUGUACCUGUGUAAAGACAGUGUCCUGCUGAAGAUGAGAUUACUGGAAGAUAAAAAAGAGGAGACUUUUAUUUUGAGAAAUAUCUCAGAACACGACUACGGGAGCUACAGCUGUGUGUACUCCAAUAAAAAAUACGCUCUGAAGGACUUCACUGGAACAGAACAGAGUGCAAUGAAGUUUCAUUUCUAUGGUAUGGAUAUAGAUGAUACGUACUGGACGAUGAAUUUUGUCAGGCUUCUGUGCUCUGUAGGAGUGCUCAUUUUUGGAUGCAUCAUAGUGAUUUUUGACAUUAAAGCUAAGGGCCGUCCAGUCCAGUAUAGGCUCAGUCCCAUUUCACCCCCUGCCCCUUCCACUUAACUCUACUAUUCAAAUUUUUUUGGAAGUCUCGAUUUAGAAAAUCUUUUAUUCUUCAAAUUAAGAUAUUUCUAAAAAAUGAAGAAAACUGUAUUUGG